rnacentral:rRNA from 1 species
GAUAAACGCUGGCGGCGUGCAUGAGACAUGCAAGUCGAACGAAGGAUCGGGCUUGCUCGAUCCUUAGUGGCGGACGGCUGAGUAACGCGUAGGUGACCUACCCCGAAGUGGGGAAUAACUGCCCGAAAGGGUGGCUAAUACCGCAUGUGGUCGCACGUUCAUUCGUGCGAGUAAAGCCGCAAGGCGCUUCGGGAGGGGCCUGCGUCCGAUUAGCUCGUUGGUAGGGUAAUGGCUUACCAAGGCGACGAUCGGUAGGUGGUCUGAGAGGACGAUCACCCAGACUGGGACUGAGACACGGCCCAGACUCCUACGGGAGGCAGCAGUCGGGAAUGUUGCUCAAUGGGGGAAGCCCUGAAGCAGCAACGCCGCGUGAGGGAUGAAGGCCUUCGGGUUGUAAACCUCUUUUGUCAGGGACGAUGAUGACGGUACCUGGCGAAUAAGCCACGGCUAACUACGUG